rnacentral:rRNA from 1 species
AUUGAACGCUGGCGGCAUGCCUUACACAUGCAAGUCGAACGGCAGCGGACCUUCGGGUGCCGGCGAGUGGCGAACGGGUGAGUAAUAUAUCGGAACGUACCUUUCAGUGGGGGAUAACGUAGCGAAAGUUACGCUAAUACCGCAUAUUCUGUGAGCAGGAAAGCAGGGGAUCGCAAGACCUUGCGCUGAUUGAGCGGCCGAUAUCAGAUUAGCUAGUUGGUGAGGUAAAGGCUCACCAAGGCGACGAUCUGUAGCGGGUCUGAGAGGAUGAUCCGCCACACUGGAACUGAGACACGGUCCAGACUCCUACGGGAGGCAGCAGUGGGGAAUUUUGGACAAUGGGCGAAAGCCUGAUCCAGCCAUGCCGCGUGUGUGAAGAAGGCCUUAGGGUUGUAAAGCACUUUAAGCGAGGAGGAAGGUUCGUCACCUAAUACGUGGCGGAAUUGACGUUACUCGCAGAAUAAGCACCGGCUAACUCUGUGCCAG